rnacentral:rRNA from 1 species
AGCGAACGCUGGCGGCGUGCCUAACACAUGCAAGUCGAACGCGAAAGGGGGGGCAACCCCCCGAGUAGAGUGGCGCACGGGUGAGUAACGCGUGGGUAAUCUGCCCUCGAAUGGGGAAUAACCUCGCGAAAGCGGGGCUAAUACCGCAUAACAUCUUCCUCUCCUCGGAGAGUAAGAUCAAAGGUGACCUCUGCAUGCAAGUUGCCGUUUGAGGAGGAGCCCGCGUCCCAUUAGCUAGUUGGUAGGGUAACGGCCUACCAAGGCUACGAUGGGUAGCCGGCCUGAGAGGGUGACCGGCCACACUGGAACUGAGACACGGUCCAGACUCCUACGGGAGGCAGCAGUGAGGAAUUUUGGACAAUGGGCGCAAGCCUGAUCCAGCAAUGCCGCGUGCAGGAAGAAGGCCUUCGGGUUGUAAACUGCUUUUGUACGGAACGAAAAGGUCUGGGUUAAUACCCUGGGCCGAUGACGGUACCGUAAGAAUAAGCACCGGCUAACUACGUGCCAGCCGCCGCAGUAAGAC